GCUUGCUCCUUUGACGUUAGCGGCGGACGGGUGAGUAACACGUGGGUAACCUACCUAUAAGACUGGGAUAACUUCGGGAAACCGGAGCUAAUACCGGAUAAUAUUUCGAACCGCAUGGUUCGAUAGUGAAAGAUGGCUCUGCUAUCACUUAUAGAUGGACCUGCGCCGUAUUAGCUAGUUGGUAAGGUAACGGCUUACCAAGGCAACGAUACGUAGCCGACCUGAGAGGGUGAUCGGCCACACUGGAACUGAGACACGGUCCAGACUCCUACGGGAGGCAGCAGUAGGGAAUCUUCCGCAAUGGGCGAAAGCCUGACGGAGCAACGCCGCGUGAGUGAUGAAGGUCUUCGGAUCGUAAAACUCUGUUAUUAGGGAAGAACAAACGUGUAAGUAACUGUGCACGUCUUGACGGUACCUAAUCAGAAAGCCACGGCUAACUACGUGCCAGCAGCCGCGGUAAUACGUAGGUGGCAAGCGUUAUCCGGAAUUAUUGGGCGUAAAGCGCGCGUAGGCGGUUUUUUAAGUCUGAUGUGAAAGCCCACGGCUCAACCGUGGAGGGUCAUUGGAAACUGGAAAACUUGAGUGCAGAAGAGGAAAGUGGAAUUCCAUGUGUAGCGGUGAAAUGCGCAGAGAUAUGGAGGAACACCAGUGGCGAAGGCGACUUUCUGGUCUGUAACUGACGCUGAUGUGCGAAAGCGUGGGGAUCAAACAGGAUUAGAUACCCUGGUAGUCCACGCCGUAAACGAUGAGUGCUAAGUGUUAAGGGGGUUUCCGCCCCUUAGUGCUGCAGCUAACGCAUUAAGCACUCCGCCUGGGGAGUACGACCGCAAGGUUGAAACUCAAAGGAAUUGACGGGGACCCGCACAAGC
rnacentral:rRNA from 1 species